CCAUAAGGAUCAAUAAAGCAGUCUUAGUCUUAGAAAGUGUAGAAUAAAUGUUUCAUCUUAUAGUCUCCUAAGAAAAACCUUUCUGGAUUGUUACAUAAGUCAAGACCAUUCUUUACAAAUUUCUUUCAUUCAGUGACAUGGACAGUUGCUCACAGUAAUAUUUUUUUCAAGCACUUCCUGAAGUUUCUACACACACAGAAUGUGACCUAUUAACCUGGCCAGUCAAUAACCUUGACUUAUAUUCCUGGCUCAUCUCUACUAGUUAACAUGUAUAUUGAAGUGUGACCGUAACAAAAGAUGUGCCUGCCCCUGUACAAGAAAAAUUGUUGAAAAAAAUUGAGUGCUUUGAUCAUGAAGCAAUUUCUUUUUCAAUAUUUAGAUCUACUGUCUUUACUUGUUUUGUUCUUAACGAUUUUCUGACGUUAUCCAAGAGUCUCUAUACUACAUUAGAUCUUCAGAGAAAUGGCAAAGCUCAGAAAACUCUGUGCCAAACCAGCUUACAACAACUUCGAGAAUCUUUGUCUAACUCAAAGAAAGAUGUGCAUAGAAUUAUGGAAUCAAGUUAUAACCUUGGACCAGACACAUUAUACAGUGUAAUAGACAAGGCCAUGUCAGAAAACACAAGUCAGGGGGAAUAUUACAGCCAUGAUCAAUUUGUAAUUGAAGCGUCAGACAUAUUCCUUUCAAAGGUCAAACAAUUGCACUAGCAAAAUUUUAGAGAACAUUCAAUAAUUGAUGCCAGACAAUUGUGGAAAUCGAGAUUGUCAAGCUAUGUAAAGUAAGAAGUCAAGAUCUUACAAUGGCUGCAGCUAAAGGAAAUAUGAAUUCCUAAUACUGUACUGUGAUUUGUGAUGCUGAUAAUGUAAAUUAAAAGUAAAAAUUGGUUUUUAUUUUUUUUCUCCAUUAGAUGUCACCUGGCACAUCAUUAAAUGUUACCAGGUUAUUUGUUUUCACUUUGAGCAUGACUUAAAACAUGUACCUGAUGUUGAUAAUAUUGUAAUUACCGGUAUUGAAUAGUUUAGGUUACACACUGUGUUCUUUCUAGUUAUUAUUCCACAUCUGACAAUGUUUUUGUCUUAGAUGGAUUAUGAAUAAUAAUAAUUGUCAAUAACUUGUUUACAAUCUCAAAAUACAUCUAUUAACCACAGACAGAUUCUAGCAAGUAAAUUAUCAAUAUGAUUGUUUAGUAAAUAUUCGCUUAUAACAAUGAAUAGACCUGCAAUUUAAUAUUUCUGAAAUUUUUGUUCAGUUGAUGAUAGUGUGCUAUAGAAGUUCAAAUUUGAAUGCAUUUUUCAUGACAUAUUUUCUUGAUGUCUAUAAUUUUGGUUUUUCCUUUCAUGUGUUAUUAUUGUUUGUGUAUAUAGCAAAUUGUAUCUGUGUAGUGUUAUUGAAUAUAUGAUAAACAUGUGACUAGUAGAACAAGAUGUUUUUAGGAUUGAGAACUUGAAUUGGUUGAUAACUUGAUGUGGAUGAUAGCUUCAUGUGGUUGAUAACAUGUUUUAGUAGCUUCACAAUUAAGAUGUAAUAAACUUUUAUUUUUGUUUCCCUGUUUGGACAUUAAAAUAUUAUUU
rnacentral:sRNA from 1 species